GAAAGAAAAACAAAGAAAAUAAAGAUGACGGUAACAAAAACACUUCAUACAUGUGGGUAAAAUACGACCUAAACCUAUCGGUUUCAUUAUGGUACUGUCGACUAUAAAAGCUGGCAUUAGUGAACUAAGGUCACUCAGGCCAUAGGUCUUGGUAUAAAUAAAUUAUUUCAUGUCUUCAAUGUGUUUUAAACAUCUCGUUGCUUCAUUACAUCAGUGUAACAGCGAACACCAUUGAAAAGUGAAACUAAUUUCAGUUUGCCGUGGUUACGACUAGAUUAUCGAUGCCUAACGACACCGUGACGUCUAUAAUUUUUCCAUCCUGUGUCGCAUGAUUUUUCGUGCACAUAUCAUUUCUAAAGCACUACUAUUGUCACUGAUUAGCAGCUGUACCUAAGACCGGGUGACAUUACAUUUAAAAACGAGCACACCCAGAGGCGCAGCAACAAAGGCAGUGACUUCCGGAGCCACGACGACAGCACAGAGUGGCAGUUGAUUUGACCACACGGCUGCUCUGCGCACUGACGUCUGUGCUUUUGGACCGGGCGGGAUAUCCGCACUAGUAAAGCUAGCUCAUAACAUGGCGAAGACAUACGAUUACUUGUUCAAACUACUUUUAAUCGGCGACUCUGGCGUCGGAAAGACCUGUGUGCUAUUCAGAUUUUCAGAAGAUGCCUUCAACUCGACGUUUAUCUCUACUAUAGGUAUUGACUUCAAGAUCAGAACAAUAGAAUUGGAUGGAAAGAA